CCAUUAGCCAGCGCUAAUAUCAUUUCAAAGGGCUUGUGUCAAAGUGGGGAGGGCACCCGAGGAGCGCCAUUCAGUCCUGUGUGAUCUUCUAUUGCUCUACCUCCUCCUAUGCGCCCAGUUUGUCCAUGCAGCCUCCAUAGCCAUCUGGAUCCUGCCAGCAGAAGGCCCCAGUCUGCAGUUAAAGCAGCAGAAAAGUGGAAAAAGCACCCAAUUUAGAUCAUAAAAACUGGAUCCAAACCUUAGUUCUGCGGAAUCCUGAAAAAGAAAAGAUAAUGGAGAAGGAUUUUGGCUAUUAUUUGCAUUGUCUUUGUAAAUAAUACAUCUUAGAUAUGGAUAGUCUAUUCCCAACAAAUGAACAGCCAAAUUGGCCAUAAUAAGUGCUGUGUUUCCAACAUGUGUUUCACAAGACUGGAGACAAGGUAAUGCAGGAACUCUGAUGAGGGACACCUGAACAGCCGAAUGCUUUAUGAACACUAUUUAAUUAAGCCUUAUGACAAUCCCGUGAGGAGAACCUGGAAACUGAAAGAUUGGUUUAAUCUCUGCAUAGCCACAAGAAUGAGAUGCAAUUAAGUAAAGCAAAUGAUCACAUUCAUUGUCAAUGCCAAGCCCACCUGGUUCCAUCCUAUCAAAGUGGUCAGAGACUCAAGGUCUAGCUGGAGAAAGCUAUUCCAGAUUCAUCCAGGGCAAUUCCACUCUUGCCCAAGAGGCUGUCCUAUCAGAUCAUAGAGCCAUCAAGCAAAGCCUCACAUGCAUAGGGCCAGAUGGAAGCGCAUCCCAGACUGGAAGGCCUGAUAGGAAUUUGCUCUGGCCUAGUUGGAAGCUGUAGGUGUUCAUCAUGUAGGCACACAUUGGAACGGAGGAUACACUCUACAAAGGCUUCUAAUUGGUGAGAGAAAUCCAUCAGUACUCUCCAAGACAUCUUCUGUAGACAAGUUCUCAUCCAGGAGUCUCCUUUCCCUUCCUGGGGAACUUGACUGAUAACAGUAGCAGAAGUAAGAGAAAGCAGAUGCUGGCAUGAGAUUCUGGAACUGAUUCACCUGCCAGCCAGUGGGCAGGAGUUCCCUAUUACUGGUGGAAGGCACAAGACAGCAGUUAAAACUUCCAUCUGAGAAAGGACACUAAAAUGACAGCAGAAGAAGAGAAUACUUAAGACCUUACAUAAACAAAGAUAACAGAAAAGGAGAUGAUAAGAGAUGAAAAAUGUCAAGAAAAGGUUGAAAUGGAAACUAGAUGUAUGUGUUUAAUUGAAUUAGUAGAGCCAAGAAGCUAAAACCAAACUUCUAUGGGGAAGCCAGCUGACUGAAUACCUGCUUCAGAAACCCCAAAAGAUCUAGAAGUUGGAGGAGCCAGUAUCUCUGAAAGAUGAACAAUGGUAGGCUCGAUGAUGCGCGGAGCCUGAACAACAUGGGGCCUGAACUCAGGACCCUAAGAUCAAGACUCUGAGAUCAAGAUCCUGAGAUCGAGACCCAAGCUGAGAUCAAGAUCUGGAUUCUUAACUGACUGGGCCACCCAAG